UACGUAGGGUGCAAGCGUUAUCCGGAAUUAUUGGGCGUAAAGAGCUCGUAGGCGGUUUGUCGCGUCUGCUGUGAAAACUGGAGGCUCAACCUCCAGCCUGCAGUGGGUACGGGCAGACUAGAGUGGCGGUAGGGGAGAUUGGAAUUCCUGGUGUAGCGGUGGAAUGCGCAGAUAUCAGGAGGAACACCGAUGGCGAAGGCAGGUCACUGGGCCGCAACUGACGCUGAGGAGCGAAAGCCAGGGGAGCAAACGGG
rnacentral:rRNA from 1 species